CCCUUAGAUGUCCUGGGCAGCACGCGUGCUACAAUGAUGCAUUCAACGAGUCUUGCCUUAACCGAAAGGUUCGGGUAAACUUUUGAAAUUGCAUCUUGUUGGGGCUUGAUCAUUGUAAUUUUUGAUCACAAACAAGGAAUUCCUUGUAAAUGUGAGUCAUCAACUUGCAUUGAAUACGUCCCUGCCCUUUGUACACACCGCCCGUCGCUUCUACCGAUGAAUGAUCCGGUGAACACUCUGGACUUGUUGUCUGUCGGAGCAAUCCAAAGACGAUAGGGAAGUUGUGUAAACCUUAUCAUUUAGAGGAAGAAGAAGUCGUAACA
rnacentral:rRNA from 1 species